AUACGUAGGGGGCGAGCGUUGUCCGGAAUGAUUGGGCGUAAAGGGCGCGUAGGCGGCGCGGUAAGUCUGGAGUGAAAGUCCUGUUUUCAAGGUGGGAAUAGCUUUGGAUACUGGUUGGCUUGAGUGCGGAAGAGGUAAGUGGAAUUCCCAGUGUAGCGGUGAAAUGCGUAGAGAUUGGGAGGAACACCAGUGGCGAAGGCGACUUACUGGGCCGUAACUGACGCUGAGGCGCGAAAGCGUGGGGAGCGAACAGGAUUAGAUACCCUGGUAGUCCACGCGGUAAACGAUGAAUGCUAGGUGUUGCGGGUAUCGACCCCUGCAGUGCCGGAGUCAACACAAUAAGCAUUCCGCCUGGGGAGUACGGCCGCAAGGUUGAAACUCAAAUGAAUUGACGGGG
rnacentral:rRNA from 1 species